rnacentral:lncRNA from 1 species
ACAUAGUUGCUCAUGGGAUAUUUGACUUUGGUAGACAAUUCAGGUUCAUAUGUGGGUUUAGGAAUACCUCUAUUAUGACGGUGUGGUAACCGUUUCAUGAAUGGAUCGGGUUCCUAAUUAAGAACACCCUCGACAGACGACGAUUGGUUUGGUAUUUCAGUGAAGACAUCUUCGAACCCAAAUUGUUGACCACUCAUAUCCAACUCACCCGCUUCUUGGUUCACUAGUUCAGAUUGUCCAGAUUCCUCCUCCUCAGAGAUAUGAUAAUCAUAAUCGAGAGUCUAAAUUUCCUUAUGGUACUC